GUGAGCUUGAUUUUGAUAAGAUACCUGUGAUUGCACCAAACACAACAUGUGACCAGUUAUGCCAAAAACAUCAAAAUACUGAAAAUAGCAAUACACAAUAUUAAUUGCAGGUUUACAGCAUGUAAGAUCAAGGAACUUACACACACACACACACCAACUUUUGAGUACUAUAUGAGAUACACUUCAACAGAAGAGGGUGCUACAUUACAUAUUGAAUCCCUGCAUUAUAUCCCUCACAUUAUUUCUCACAAUAAACUUAUUAGGAUGCCACCCGGUGCUGGACUUGGCUUUUCACCAACCCCUACCCAACAAAACUGAAGCAAGAAGUUGGGUUAAGAUAUAUAU